UAAACUACGAUUAGAUACCCUAUUAUUUUGAAUGUAAAAUGGAUAAUGCUUGAGUAGUAAUAGUUAUGGUCUUGAAACUCAAAGAAUUUGGCGGUGUUUCAGUCCUUUCAGAGGAACCUGUCCCGUGAUCGAUAUUCCACGUUAGACCUUACUUGAUUUAGAUUAGUUUGUAUAUCGCCGUCGUCAGAAUGUCCUAUGAGGGGUUUAAUUUUCUUUAUUUUAAAUUUAAAAGGAUGUCAGGUCAAGGUGCAGCUUAUAAUCGAGUGGAGAUGGGUUACAAUAAAGUUAUUUAUGAUGGAUAGUUACUUGAAAUUAGUGGUUUGAAGGUGGAUUUGAAUGUAAUUGCAUAUAGUAUGCUGCUUUGAUUUCGGCUCUGGAACAUGCACACAUCGCCCGUCGCUCUUA
rnacentral:rRNA from 1 species